rnacentral:rRNA from 1 species
CGUAGGGUCCGAGCGUUGUCCGGAAUUAUUGGGCGUAAAGGGCUCGUAGGCGGUUCGUCACGUCGGGAGUGAAAACUCGGAGCUUAACUCCGAGCCUGCUUCCGAUACGGGCAGACUAGAGGUAGGCAGGGGAGAGCGGAACUCCUGGUGUAGCGGUGGAAUGCGCAGAUAUCAGGAAGAACACCGGUGGCGAAGGCGGCUCUCUGGGCCUUACCUGACGCUGAGGGGCGAAAGCGUGGGUAGCGAACAGGAUUAGAUACCCUGGUAGUCCACGCCGUAAACGUUGGGCGCUAGGUGUGGGGGACAUUCCACGUCCUCCGUGCCGCAGCUAACGCAUUAAGCGCCCCGCCUGGGGAGUACGGCCGCAAGGCUA